GAGUUUGAUCCUGGCUCAGGACGAACGCUGGCGGCGUGCCUAACACAUGCAAGUCGAGCGAGUGGAUCUCCUUCGGGAGAGAAGCUAGCGGCGGACGGGUGAGUAACACGUGGGCAACCUGCCUCAUAGAGGGGAAUAGCCUCCCGAAAGGGAGAUUAAUACCGCAUAAGAUUGUAGCUUCGCAUGAAGUAGCAAUUAAAGGAGCAAUCCGCUAUGAGAUGGGCCCGCGGCGCAUUAGCUAGUUGGUGAGGUAACGGCUCACCAAGGCGACGAUGCGUAGCCGACCUGAGAGGGUGAUCGGCCACAUUGGGACUGAGACACGGCCCAGACUCCUACGGGAGGCAGCAGUGGGGAAUAUUGCACAAUGGGGGAAACCCUGAUGCAGCAACGCCGCGUGAGUGAUGACGGCCUUCGGGUUGUAAAGCUCUGUCUUCAGGGACGAUAAUGACGGUACCUGAGGAGGAAGCCACGGCUAACUACGUGCCAGCAGCCGCGGUAAUACGUAGGUGGCGAGCGUUGUCCGGAUUUACUGGGCGUAAAGGGAGCGUAGGCUGACUUUUAAGUGAGAUGUGAAAUACCCGGGCUCAACUU
rnacentral:rRNA from 1 species